rnacentral:rRNA from 1 species
AUACGGAGGGUGCAAGCGUUACUCGGAAUCACUGGGCGUAAAGCGCGCGCAGGCGGCUUGAUAAGUUGGAUGUGAAAGCCUACGGCUCAACCGUAGAACUGCAUCCAAAACUGUCAAGCUAGAGUCUGGGAGGGGAAGAUGGAAUUAGUUGUGUAGGGGUAAAAUCCGUAGAGAUAACUAGGAAUACCAAAAGCGAAGGCGAUCUUCUGGAACAGUUCUGACGCUGAGGCGCGAAGGCGUGGGGAGCAAACAGGAUUAGAAACCCCUGUAGUCC